AGACAUGAAUGACUGGUAGAGAGGUAGAUAAAUCUACAGACUGUAUGUUUAUUGUAUCACCUGGGUGUCCAAAUACAUUCACACACUACUGAAAUUAUGUGCUUCUUCCUGCCUUCCACCUCUCCAUAUGUCUCCUUCCCACCACGUUACAUGUGGAGCCAGGUCACUGGAUUCUUGCCGAGGCCACCUGGGAUAAUUGAAAUUAAAUGAGAACGUAAAGUUUUCCUUGACCAUGCACUUAAGAAGAGAGCAGAGAAAUUAGUGAGGGUUGAGGAAUAGGACUUUAGGAAUAUCGGAGGGCAGGAAGACUGAGACAUAGAGCAGGAAGAAGAGAAUCUACAAAGUAUCAGUUAAAAUGAAAGGUUCUAACAGUUCCCUCGCGUUCUAAGAAGGCCUUUUCGGGGAGCCUGGGAAUUUCAUCAUCUUUUCAGAAAUAUUAGUGGCUCUGGCACCAACUGGCUGGGGGCAUGGUGAGGUCACUGUCAGUGAAGCAAGGGGGAAGGCACAGCCAUGACAGGGAUCAGCCACAAACAGGCACCAUCCAGAGCACUCCAAGGACACUCAGUGCUAAAAGAGGUCUUAAGAUUCCUAUCAGCCCGAGUUCUGCAUUGGCUGAGACUUGCAGUCCGUGUAGAAGUCAUAGAGCCAUUUCUGAAAGUAGUGAGAGGUUUUGUAUUGUUCAAGAUAUCAUUGGGACAGCAGGCAGGAGCAUAGUAGAAGGGAAUCCCUGAGGUCACAGAAAGGUGGCCAAAAGAGGAAGGGUGUGUCUGGAUCACACUGGAAGGUCACUCGAGUUGACUGAGGUCCAAUGGCAACUAUGUUCACCACUAGGGAGUCUCUUGAGACCAGCCAUUUCCAAAUAAGAACAGUUAUACAGAGGUCUGAGAACAAAUUAUCAGUCCCUCUCAGAGAGUGCAAGCCCUGGUAGGGGGUGGAAGGAUGUGUUCUGCAGACCUGAUUAAGAGUGGAUGGGAUGGAUAGACCUCCAUCACUCACCGGGGAAAAAGGAGAGCUCUCCCUCCUGCAUCCCUCCUGGGCUGGCCUUGUUAUCACUGGUCCUUGAGGGGUUCUCAUGCCGCUGUGAGUCAUGACUUAGCACAUAGUAUCCUAACAGAAGCUUGUGGUAAUUCUCCAAAUGAAAGUGGCCACAGGGCACAUCCUACUCACCUAUGUACUCAGCACUCAGCACACUGUCUGACACACGGAAGAUGCUCAAUAAAUGUGUGGUGACUAAAAUAAGUUUGAAUUGAGAAAGUUUAACAUGUCAUUAUUUCACCUACAAAAGUCCAUGACCUUAAAGAGCAUGCUUUAAAAUAAUUUAAUCCCUGGGUAUUUAGUUGGAAUCUUUCUCAAUUACUCUAACUGCUAUCAAUCGUAGCCUAUUCUAAUUUUAGUUUUGUGAAGUUUAAAAUGCUCCUUUUAAACCCUGUUUGAAUCUUUAAAAUAAUGUCACAGUUUUCCCCAGAGCCCAAGCCUGGGGUGAGGCAGCCUCCCACUGAGUGUCAGUCAUCGUGCAAAGGCCUUGAGAUGUAGGAAUGAAUUUGAUGUUGUCCCUGGUACAAUGGCAGCAAAUUCGACGGACAUUGAAGAGCAGAGGUGAAGGAUGGCCCAACCCUCUGAGAGCAGAACCAGGGCUGUGUCCUGCUGGAAGAUGUCUGGCUGAGCGGAGAGGAUGGGCAGCACUUCUCUGGCCAGUGAAACUUCAUUGGUGUUUUGUACAACUACCUCUACUCUAAGGCUUUCUUCCAAGAGUUGUUUGUCCUUUCUAAAGCCACUAUUACUCUAAGAAUUCUUGUGGCCUCCCUUUCACCAGAAGAAAAAAAAAUGUUGAAAUAAGAAAACAAAACAAAAUUAUGGGCAAAUGAGCUACUUCUAAGCAGCUGAGAAAUACUGUUAAAUGAGAGAAGUUCUCUUUACCCCAAGAAAACUUUGGUUUUCUCUUCUGGUCUUAUUUAAAUUCAUAUUUGCAUGUACAUGAGCAACUGCUAUAUUCUGAAAAUGGCUUUCUGACAGAAUACAAUGACAAGUAAAUUUCAACUACAAUUUUUAUGGCAGAACUCAAUGUUGUAAAUAACUCCAAUGGGAAAAUGAAGAGGGCUAUGGGAGCAUAGAGGCGGCACUACCAUUGUCCCAGGCAGUUAAAGAAGGCAACCCCAGGGUGGUCUGCUAAACUGGAACCUGAGGAAUGCAAGGAGUUAUCAAGUUGAGGGGGUGAUGUCAGUGGUGGAACUCAAAUUGUAGGUAGAAGGAACAGCAAGGGCCAAGGUUCAGAAGCCAGAGAGUACAUGACGUGUUUGUGGGCUCACACACUGCUGGAGAGGCUGGAGUAUACAGUGCUCCCUCUGAGCAGCUGGAGGGGUAGCAGGGGCUAGAGCAUGAUAAGGAAUCCAGGUAUUACUCUGAGUGUAAGCUGUGGAAAGUAGGUUGAAGCAAGGGAGUUAUAUUUUAUACAAAUCAUUCUGGCCACAAAAUAGAAAACCGAAUGGCAAAAGUUGAUUCAGGGAGACUAGUUGAAAGCCUGGUGUAAUAAUCUCAGCAGAUGAUGGCAGCCGGGGUGAAGGCGUAGAAGUAGCAGUGGGGAUGGAGAAAAGUGGAUUGAUUCAAGAAAUAAGAAGGAGGCAAGAGCAGCAGAAGGGAAAGGGGGAUUGGCUUUCAGGGGUGAGGGAAGGAAGAGUUGAGGAUGACACUCCAAAUUUCUGAUUUGGGAAAAUGGGUGGAUGUUGAUACCAUUCACUGACAUAGAGAAUACAAAAGGAGGAAGAAAUUGUGGGAGAGGGGGACAAUACGAAUUCGAGUUGCCUAUGAGCCAUUGGAUAUAGGGCUGCAUAAUUCAGCAAAGAGAUUUGGGCUGAUGAAAUAGAUUUGGGAGCCAUCCUUUGUCUAGAUGGUAAUUAAAGCCACAGGAGUAGAGGAGUUUACUGCAUGAGAAUGUGAGUGGAGAGAGAAGUGAGCCCACAUGGGACCCUGAGAAACAACUAUAUUUAACAAAUGUCCAGGCAAAGGAAGGCUCACAGAGGAGUCUGGACAGAGUCACUACAGAGAGAGAGAAAAAUCAGGAAUGUGCAGUGUCCAUGGAGCCAAUGGGAAAAAUCUCAGGGAGGGAAUGGUGGUCCCGAUUCCCAGUGUUGCCAAAAAGGGUUAGUAUUAGGUAAGGAUUAAAAACUGCCCAUGUGUUUAGCCACAGGAAGGCCUGGGUGACCAUAGUAAGAGCAGUUUCAGCAGAGAGGUGUUGGUAGAAGAUGCUGGCUGAGUCGAGGAAAGAGAGAACAUCACAGUCUUUCAAAAAGAGUGACUUUGAAGAGGAGAAGAAAAGUAAGGAUGUAGCUGGAGGCUCUUUUCGGUGGUUGUUAUUUUGUUAUUUUUUAGUGGGAAAGACUUGAACAUGUUUAAAAGCUAAUGAAAAAGAUUCCACAGAGAGAGAAAAAGAGAAAGAGGA
rnacentral:lncRNA from 10 species